rnacentral:tRNA from 1 species
GACCAAGUAGCUCAGUUGGUAGAGCAUUGGGCUAGUAUUCCAAAGGUCGUAGGUUCGAUUCCCACCGUGGUCA